rnacentral:rRNA from 1 species
ACGUAGGUGGCGAGCGUUGUUCGGAUUUACUGGGCGUAAAGGGUCCGCAGGGGGCUUUUCAAGUCUGAUGUGAAAUCCCGAAGCUUAACUUCGGAAUUGCAUUGGAAACUGCUAAGCUAGAGCAUCGGAUAGGAGAGUGGAAUUCCAGGUGUAGCGGUGGAAUGCGUAGAUAUCUGGAAGAACACCUAAGGCGAAGGCAGCUCUCUGGACGAUUGCUGACCCUCAGGGACGAAAGUAUGGGGAGCAAACAG